AAGACUAUAGACCUGCGGAGUACCUGCGGAAGGAUCAUCAAUGAAUUUUGGCUGGGCGUCGCCUAUUCGGUGGCACCCUGCCAAAAUACAAAUCUCCGUCAACUUGUUGCAUUUGUAUGAAUGACGUGGGCUGUUGUUUCUGGGAGGCAGGUUUUUGCUUCUCAGGCGGCAGCCCACCGGGGUUUUUUUUAUUCUAAAAACCAAACAUAUUAUUUACACUUGAAUUCUCAAAUUUCAUAC
rnacentral:misc_RNA from 1 species